rnacentral:rRNA from 1 species
GAUGAACGCUAGCGGCAGGCCUAACACAUGCAAGUCGAGGGGGAAGUUACUUUCGGGUGACUGAGACCGGCGUACGGGUGCGUAACGCGUAUACAAUCUGCCUUUCACUGGGGGAUAGCCCGAAGAAAUUUGGAUUAAUACCCCAUAGUAUAUAGGGACGGCAUCGUUUUUAUAUUAAAGCUUAGGUGGUGAAAGAUGAGUAUGCGUUCUAUUAGCUAGUUGGAGAGGUAACGGCUCCCCAAGGCGAUGAUAGAUAGGGGUUCUGAGAGGGAUGUCCCCCACACUGGUACUGAGAUACGGACCAGACUCCUACGGGAGGCAGCAGUGAGGAAUAUUGGACAAUGGUCGGAAGACUGAUCCAGCCAUGCCGCGUGCAGGAUGAAGGUCUUAUGGAUUGUAAACUGCUUUUGUAAGGGAAGAAUAAGGGCUACGCGUAGUUCGAUGACGGUACCUUACGAAUAAGCAUCGGCUAACUCCGUG